GGCUGUGGCACGCAUGCACCCUGCUGCUAGGGGUAGGGUCUUGGCUCCCAUUCCAAGGGCUUCUAGCACCUAGGGCUGUGAGGGUUGUGGAGUCUGCUCUGUUGAGAAAUGAGCUCGUCUGACGAUGAUGAGGGGCCGACUUCACUGGACUGGCCGCCCUCCGACCUGGAGCCCUCCGACCUGUCCUCGGACGAGUUCCAGGAGACACCACACAUGAAGCUAUCUUGCCCGUCCUAACAUCACGGAGGAUACAACAUUCGGGAUCUGGAUACCAAGACCUCUCAAGUUCCAGGAAAUUCACUGCCUUUGGCCAUGGCACAGGGAAGUGUCAAGCCCAGAGCAUCCCCACCUUCAGUUUUCUGGAGGCCACUUCGUCUGUCCCGAGAGGAAAUGAAGCAGCCACCACCUGGAGCACACAACUGCCCUCAAGUAAUGCUCUCUUGUCUAGGCAGCAGGCACUCCUGAUCUCUCCUUGCUACCUUCACCUGCAUCAUGCCCACAGAUUUUGCUCUCCUGCUUCAGUGGAUCAAGGCUCCAGUGUGCUUCUGAGUUACUUCUCAGAAUCCUCCUGGUGAGAGGUGGGUGAAAAGGACAGCUUGUUUCCACCAGUAGCCCUGAGACCAGGUAGAGAGGCUGGGUACACAUCUGGCUAUGAGAAUGUGAGUCUUGGCAGUUUCCAGCCCUGGAAUCAAGAUAACCUUUAUCCGCCUUUUCCUGCUGCGCUGAUGAAGUGAAGAAGGCCUUGGAGUAGGACAGCAGCCACUUCCUGGCACACUACAGCAGAGAGACUUAUGGGUGUUGUAGGAGCUCCAAGAACAGAAGACUCUUGGCACGGUGAUGAGGAGCUUGGAAGGAAAGCAAGGAAGGCUCCUGGGCAGGAGUUUUAACUGGCAUCAGGAGUGCCAGCCAAUGUUUCCUCAGGGACUGGGGAUUGAGCAAACCCCUUUCCUGACAGAGGAGCAGGUUGGGACUGGCACUGAGAACAGAAGGCCAUAUAUAUGGUGGGGCUGCUGAGCUAGUCCUGAUCACCCUGUGGCAUGUUGGGGGGCUUUGGGUUCUCUUUCAGGGUGUCAGGACUGUGAGCAAGAGCAGUCUUGUGCUCCCUGCACAGCCAGGCAAACUGGGCCUUCCAGAUGACCUUGAACAGGGUUUGCCAAGGCUGAACCUCCAAGUCUCCAACUCAGCAAUAAGGCCCUGAUGGCAGCCACAUAAAAAGCACAGCAUGGAAUAAAGUAUGAAGCAACGCUGGCCA
rnacentral:lncRNA from 1 species